UGAUCCUACGGGACGCAGCAGUGGGGGAUAUUGCACAAUGGGGGGAACCCUGAUGCAGCGACGCCGCGUGGGUGAAGAAGCGCCUCGGCGCGUAAAGCCCUGUCAGCAGGGAAGAAAAUGACGGUACCUGAAGAAGAAGCCCCGGCUAACUACGUGCCAGCAGCCGCGGUAAUACGUGGGGGGCAAGCGUUAUCCGGAUUUACUGUGGGUAAAGGGGGCGCAGACGGCGAUGCAAGACAGGGGUGA
rnacentral:rRNA from 1 species